rnacentral:rRNA from 1 species
CGGGUGAGUAAUACAUGGGAAUCUGCCUGGUGGUGGGGGACAACAGUUGGAAACGACUGCUAAUACCGCAUACGCCCUACGGGGGAAAGGGGGGGAUCUUCGGACCUUGCGCUAUUGGAUGAGCCCAAGUCAGAUUAGCUAGUUGGUGAGGUAAUGGCUCACCAAGGCGACGAUCUGUAGCUGGUCUGAGAGGAUGAUCAGCCACACUGGGACUGAGACACGGCCCAGACUCC